ACCAAUUAGGGUUUUCGGCUCCUUCCACAGCCCGCGCAAGCGCCAGCCCCCAGCGGGCGAUAUAUUCUAUUUGCUCUCCAACUAGUUUGAAAUUUUGCAGAGAAAUGGAAGCGACUACUGCCAUUCCUUUCAAGGCUGCAGAUGUUGACGAAAAGUGCAUGCGGAAGGAAAAAAAGAGUUGGCAAUGGCUCUUGCCCAGGCUAAGGAAAGGCUGAUGCCAUCACAGCUAAGCUACAGGCUGAUAAUAAUCAAGUGAAGGGUUGCAGCUGACGCAGUAUGUUUUGAUUCCUUCUUUGUUAUUGCGCUGCUUCUUUUUUGGACACUCAGAUGAAUCUAGUCUCACACCUAGUGCCAAAUAUGGUCCAAGUAUACAAGUCUUUGUAAAGAGAAAACUACUUUGUUCUAGCUACUACACCAUGAAUCUUCCAGUCCAUUGGAUUGAACCGUGAGAUAUAAGGCUGAUGGAGUGAUGGGGCAGCUUUGCUGAAACUUAGCCUUCAAAUAAAUAAAUAAAUAAUUCAACUUCUUUGUUAGCAGGGAUAGAUGCAUGCCAAAAUCAUCAAUUUAGGCUUAUGUUUGGAUUGUUCAACUUUGCUACGACAAAGUUGUAGUUCAUACUGAAAACAAUCAUAAAGUUUUUUUUUUUUUUUUGUUUUAUCGUUCCCUCUGUUGUUAUUGAUAGUAACUUGGUAUUUUUCAUCAUUAUUUUCUUUUAUCCAUUGUUGCUUUAGUUCUCUGGCUUUUGGUUGUGUAAUUGAACUUUGACUCUGAUGCUUACGUCUCUUUGCUAUGACUCUAAUUAUAAUGGUUUACAAAAUAAUGAUGAUUAUCAGUUAAAACUUGUCAAGAGGUUGGAUGACUAGUCUCUACUUCUAGUUAGUAUACUUGUGUAAAAGUACUCUGCUUUUGCAAAUUUGAUAUAAAAAUAUGAAACGCAUAAUUGCACUUUACCUAAAGUCAAGAAGAUAAAAAACACAUGAUUGCUAAACGGUAUACAUAGAUAGCCUUGUUGGAGAAAUUCUUGUAUGAACUCGAUCAAUGUAUUUGUGAUCUUUGAGAUAAUACAAAUGUUUAAAUUAGAUUUUGUAUUAAAUUAAGUGUUUCUGUAGCUUUAAUUUUGAAUUUUAUAUAUUUAUUGUUGUGAUCUUUGAGAUAAUGCAAAUGUUUUGUUAAUGUUAUUCUUAAUAAUGAUAAUAAAAAAAGAAGAGGAGAGCAUUGUUCAAAUUAAUAUGGCCGAAGAAAAUGUUUCAAUCAAGAGAGGAACUUGGUGAAAGGAACAAAAUUUGUAGUGCUGUUUCAACUAAAGAAACACUCAUUUCUAACUAGCUUGCUACACCGCGUUACUCAGGUUUGGCUCGAUUAUUUGUGUUGCUGUAUACCCUAUUGCUGUAGUGGAGCAAGGAGAACAUGUUUUUUGGUUGGCCACCAGUUUUGUAGGGCCUGGGGCCCUGGGGCCCUAAAGAAUAUAUUUCAAUGAAAUACUAGACGAAGUCAUUGAGAAGCUGGUAAUGAGAGGGGUUUUGUCUUUCUUUAUUGACCGCUAAGUUUGAAGAGGGAUUUGUAUUCAAUAGUUGCUGGGGGGCUUAUUACAUUAGAGCAUCCAUGAUAACUUUUGGUUUUCUAAUUCCUACGGAACGCAUGGUAUUUACAAACAAUGGCGUAGGAUUUAUAAUAUUUGUUUUGUGCAUGCAGGUAGGGACAACUAAUAGUGUGAUGGGACUUUCCAAAGCUCUCACUAAAAAAGAUUAUGAAAGAGGUUCUCUAGCUACUGCACCUGUUUUCUCAUCCAUUCUUUUUGGAAUAACUUAGACUAGCAUCCUUUCUUUCCUUCAUUGUUGUUAUUCUAGUUCCUCCUUUCACACUUGCUUUGAACUUGGUGUCCAUCAAUUUAUCAACUGUGCAUUAAUUUUAGUUAA